CGGCAUCAGCUCAAAUUUGAAAUCUGGCUCUUUCAGGGUCCGAGUUGUAAUUUGCAGAGGGAGCUUUCGAGUUGGCAGCGGUCUAAGUUCCUUGGAACAGGACGUCAUAGAGGGUGAGAAUCCCGUAUGCGGCCAGGUGCCUACGCUCAUGUGAAGCUCCUUCGAC
rnacentral:rRNA from 1 species